UUGGAUUCAGUAAAUAUACAGACGCUGCUUUGGGGGGCAGUAGUUAGCUGUUGCAUCAUGAUCUCAAGGUCCCAGAAGUGAGCUAAGCUGAAAGGCAACCAACGUUACAGAGUUCUUCAUCAGCUGGAAUGGAAAGAUUUAAAGGAGAGGAGGUGCUAAAAGUUGCUGGUCUUUCAGAAGAGCUGAUAGAGAUGUCCAUCUCUCCUUCUGCUGGGGGAAGCUGCCUUAUACAGAGUCGGACCAUUGGUCCUUCCAGCUGAGCACUAUCUACACUGACCGGCAGCAACUCUCCAGGGUUUCAAGCUUCUCUCCCUGUCCUACCUGGAGAUGCUGUGGAUUGAACCUGGGACUUUCUGCAUUCAGAACAGAUCCUGUACCACUGAGCUAGGACCUUUCUGAUUCGGUAUAAGGCAGCUUCCCUCCCUCGCAGAUCUACUGCUUCAUGCCAAGUUUGGUCCUCGGACUCCAUAAAGGCUUGGACCAGCCUUUACAGGCCAUAUAAAUAAUCUAGUAGGAGCCAUUUCAAAUGGACUAUAAAACAGAUGUACCAUGCUCUAGU